rnacentral:rRNA from 1 species
ACGAACCGUCCAAACGUUAUUCGGAAUUACUGGGCUUAAAGGGUGCGUAGGCGGCUUGGCAAGUUGGGUGUGAAAUCCCUCGGCUCAACCGAGGAACUGCGCUCAAAACUGCCAGGCUAGAGGAAGAUAGAGGUGAGCGGAACUAAUGGUGGAGCGGUGAAAUGCGUUGAUAUCAUUAGGAACACCUGUGGCGAAAGCGGCUCACUGGGUCUUUUCUGACGCUGAGGCACGAAAGCUAGGGUAGCGAACGGG